CUUUUCAAUGGGGAUGAAGAACCAGAUCUACAUUUCUACAAUUUUACAAUUUCAUUUCGCAGACACUUUUGUCCAAAGCGACGUACAACAUAAGCAAGAAUUUAGACUUGAGGAAAAACCCUUAGUAAGUGCAAAAAGUGCUUCAAGUUUGAUUGGCUGCAGGCGCUGCCAUCAAGUACUAGAAGAA